rnacentral:rRNA from 1 species
AACGAACGCUGGCGGCAGGCUUAACACAUGCAAGUCGAACGCCCCGCAAGGGGAGUGGCAGACGGGUGAGUACCGCGUGGGAACAUACCCUUUUCUACGGAAUAGCUCUGGGAAACUGGAAUUAAUACCGUAUACGCCCUACGGGGGAAAGAUUUAUCGGGGAAGGAUUGGCCCGCGUUGGAUUAGCUAGUUGGUGGGGUAAGGGCCUACCAAGGCGACGAUCCAUAGCUGGUCUGAGAGGAUGAUCAGCCACAUUGGGACUGAGACACGGCCCAAACUCCUACGGGAGGCAGCAGUGGGGAAUAUUGGACAAUGGGCGCAAGCCUGAUCCAGCCAUGCCGCGUGAGUGAUGAAGGCCUUAGGGUUGUAAAGCUCUUUCACCGAUGAAGAUAAUGACGGUAGUCGGAGAAGAAGCCCCGGCUAACUUCGUG